ACUCUUGGAUUUUGUGCUCUAGUGUUUCUAGGAUUUUUUUUUUUGUGAACCUUUGGAUCUUUUCCCUGUGCUUACCCGUUACCAGGUUUUGGAACGUUUUUGGACUUCUGUGACUUCUCUAGAUUACAUCUCUGGUUUUCUGCGACUCCUCUGGAUUACGUUUUUGGAUUUCUGUGACUCCUCAGGAUUACUCACCUGUGCCCCAUAGGGUUUCUGGACGCAGCUCUCACCGUUCUCCAUUUCUCCCGGCUGGCCCGCUCUCCUGCUCUCCUCUCGCUCCCUCUCCUGGACACCCCACUUGGAUUCACCCCGGCACCCAACCUACCCUCCCUCAUUCCAACGCUCCCCUACUCCCAGUAAGUCUAUUCUCUGCACCCACCAAGUUUAGACUUACCUUCAUGGACUCACCUGUAUCUGCUCUCCCCUCCUCAGACGCUGCGCUCCCAUUCUCGAUCUCCACUGGGCUUUUCCAGUGCACCUUCAGUUCCCGUUUUAAAAUAAAGAUUUUUUUUUUACCAUAAGAUCUGUGAGUGUGUGAUUCUGCAUGUCUUGGGUUAAAUGCAUUCCCCAAACCAUGUCAACAGGGGCAGCAGCUUAAGUCCAGAGCCAGAGCUUUUAAGAGCCAGAAAUAUGGAAGGAAAAAGCCAACUGCCCAUUUUCCUCCUCUGGGGAGGAGCCCAGACUUCCCUCUCCCCAACCACUUGGGCCAGCUCCUCAGUGUCAUGGUCUGUGCUAAGCUAACACCUGUUUUGUGUUGAGUUUCUCUGUGUGCAGGUGGGUGUGUCCGGAGAGCAGCUGCUGUUGAUCUUCUCAUCAGUGGUCAGGGGAUUUAAGGAGUGUCGAGACAACACAUCAGCGCCGGAUGAUUACUCAGUAUUGGGUAGUAUUCUCGCCAGAAUCUUGCCUGUCUUGUGUUAUCUCCUGUUUACCUCGCUUCAAUCGUGUUAAUCUGCCCUGUUACCUCCGACCUCCUCAGGUACCUUCCAUUCAUCUGCCAACUUCCACCAUCAACCAAAAGACUCACCGGAUCAAUCCUGCUCACCAGCCCCUCGCUCGCCCUUGACAGCCUGCUCUCCAACCCCCACCUGCCAUCAGUACACCCUGGACUCCGGUGCUCAGCUCCCAGCCAUUUCCUCUGCCUCUCACCCGACCAACUCAGCCAGCCUUGACCUGCCCUCCUCUCAAACUCUCCCUAACUACCAGGAAACCAACUUCAUCAGAACCUCCCGAAUCCCGAUCUACAUCUGCAUCACUCAUCCAACUUGAAUAAAUAAUUUUUACUUA